GUUUACCUCAGGGUUUACCUCAGCGGUCGGCUGCGGCGGGCGUGUGGGCAGGGCGAGGAUGCGUGACCGUUCGGUAGCAGGUGACACACCUGAUCGGUCACCGUGGGCCGGGAGACGGUGGCGACGGCUCCCAACCUCCUUCCGCGGCCGCGGGCCCUGCGCAGGAGGUGCCGCUCCGCCACAACAUGGCGGCUGCCGCCAAACCGGCCCGGUGCCACAAGAAGCUGCUGGUGUGGCUCAGGGCUGCGCGUGGCCAAGUCGUAGGCAGCUCCUCUUCCCUGGGUUUAUGCUACACAUGCCAAUGAAUGCCAGAGGCCACCAGCUGCUUUCCAGGGAACACAGAGACAAGAGCAAACAGGCUCCAUGCCACAGUACCUAAGCAGGGCAGGUAAGCUGGGGUUCAUCAGCCAUGAGUGCAGGUGGUAAGGCAAGUCCACAGUGAUGAGGCAAGUACACCAUGCCUCGUGAUGAUGAGACAAGUAUAGAAGCCAGGAAGGCAACCCACUGCUCAGGGUCAGGCACAGUCCCAUGAUCAGCACAGUGAUGAAAUAGUUUUGAGGUCAGUCUGGGAACUCAUUCCACAGGUCACAGUCCAGGUCAGCGAAGUCCAUAGCUACACAUAGCUGUAACUGAGCUGAAGGCCCAGGGCUGAGUUUAAAUAGAAUUCCUGGUCUCAUGGGAAGAGGGUGUGGAGAAAGGCACCAGGUGAUGCCACUAAGGCCUGUUAGUGCACUCAAGGCCCUGACAACGCACUCUAGUUUCAGCAGGGUCAUCUCCCAUAAAUACAGAAAAUACUGCAGAGAAUACUUUCCCUCUAGAGGGCUGUAUAGUACAGACAGAAGGGAAGUGUCUGAUUACACCAAGCUCUAAUAGCCCUUAUUUCAGGGCUGCUACUAGUUCAAAAGUAUCAAGGAAUUAUUUAUAUGGGACGGUUAUGCUGGAAAGGUGAUACAGAUUAGGUAGUACAGGAAGGUUUGUUGAGAUCUGUAGGAUAGAUGCAGGUUGCAAAGAAAAGGCAAAAUGUACACGUUUGGUAAUUGGGUUUGUGUCAGAGUAGAUUGGCUCACCGAUACUCUGUGGCUGUUGCGUUCUCUUCAGAUGUCUGACUCUCUAUGAUGGAGUGCUCACUGAAAUAACAAUGUUUCCAAGGAACGCUACAGAGAACUGCAAUACAAAUGCGUGCAACUUUGUAUCUUCCCAGUUGCGGCUGUAGAAGGGUGCAGGCCAGCCGUCCGUAGAGCUCAAUGAUGGAGUAGAAGUAGUAGUAAGAAGGAGAAGCUGUCUAAAUUAAGUAGAGUUGAGGUGGUUAGGUUUUAUUUUUUUUAAUCCUAGCUGGAAGUUUCUUCACAACCUUCAGCUCGCUUGAAAAAUUGUCAGCAAAUUCUGGUUUUGUGCCAAUCAAGACAAAAGACUAUGACCUGUAAUAACAUUCCAAUCUAGUUUGGCACCUCACGCCAGUGCUGUAGUUCAAUCUUGUGACAUCUUAUGUCUCCUAUUACCUACAUUUUAAAGUCAAGAUAAGUGACUUGUUGUAAUAGGAACUUAUUUAAAACACAUCCACUCUUUUUGAGGCUUCCUUUGCUUUCUUGACAGAAAUAUCUGACAGUCUUUUAGUAAGGGCUGUCUACUUUUCGUAACAAUAAAGAACAGCAUUUACUACAGUAAUUUAAAUUGGUAGACAUAAAACCGUCAAUUUCCAAUAGGAUUUAUAGUAUCUCCGAUAAUUUGAAUGUUUAGUUUGGACAGUACUUGUUGGUGAUUUGUAUGGCAAAUAUACAUAUCUCUUGUGGUUUAACAAUAUUCUUGCUCUUGCUUGAAAAUCCUCACUUGUAGGUCUACAUUUAGGACAGAUUUUAAGCACUUGGAAACAGAGACAUUGAAAUGAAUAAUACCAAACAGUGACACUUGGUGGCUAGUUAUGUAACAUGCACAUUCUUAGCCAUUAGAAUACAUGAAAUGAAGAGUGAAUCUCAGCUUUUCUAUCAUAUUAAGUAGCUCAACAAAUACAAUUUAUGGAAAUAUGCGCUUCCCUACUAUAAUGCUACAAUGGGAUGAUAAUAGCGAGGUGACAGUCUUUAGCUACAGCAAAUGAGAAUAAGCUCAAAUGCAGCAGCCACAGAUGCAGAAGUGAAGGAAAAGAGCUUCUUACCUACAGAAGGCCUCAGGUAGGCAGGGAUCCCUAGCAAAAGAUACCUUCUCCUCCACUUCUAACCCUUAAAUAAGGUCUGUGAAGGGUGGAUCCUGACUCCACCCCUUCCAAUCACUCAAGUACAUUGCAUGCACCUGAGCUCCUGUGUUGACCCUGCCUUCCCACCAGGUGCUCUAUCACUGGUUCAGGCCAUGACUUAGCAUUUCCACUACACCUACCAUCUUUCAAAAGCUUCAGAAACAUCAAGUAAGCCUCUUGACAUCCUGUGGAGCAAAAGCAUAUUUGAGUGUUUCAGAUGCAAAAAUUAACUAAUCUAUUACCAAAAUGCAUGCAGUUGGUAAUUACAGAAUACAAAGUGAUGUAUUCUGUAAAGAUUCUGUCACUCUUGAUACCUACUGUAUUUCUUGGGCCACAUGUCCCUUCACGUCCUCUCAGAAUUCCUCUGGUAUAUAUAUUCCACUGCCUUCUCAAUCAAGCUCUCGUUAUAUUGGAAGUUCUUAAUAUUUUCAUUAAAAAAAAAAAAAAACACUUGUUCUCUGUUUAUCCUCAAGAUAUAGCCAGUUUAGAAGCUAUUGUAAUAAAAAAAACAUAUACUGAGCAUAACUGAACACCUGAAAUCAUAGAAUAUGAAGAAAAAUACACAUUAUUCUAAUGUAAACUCAUUGGACUGACUGAAAAUUUUCAUCAAUACCCUUGCUGGUCUUGCACAGGUAUGUGUCUCCUGAUUGCUCAAUAGACAGAACUGCAGGUCACUGGCACUCAGUGCUGUGUCUUGUGAUCACUGCUGCACCCCCAUGGCCUGACGGUUUGUUAUAAAGUUACCAAAGAGACCUAUGUCAACUGGAAUAGUCACGCCAAUCUAUUGCUUACUCAUUUGGGGCACUGGCUUAGGAAAUGGGGGAACAGCUAAUUUCAUUAUUGCUUUCCAAUCUCACCAUUAAUUGCAUUUUACACGAGUGGCAACUACCAGAGAAAGGGAGCUAUGCAGACAACUUUACCACUGGCUUACCUCCUUAUUUCUAGCUGGGAAAAAACAUCCAGAGGAGAUUAAAAGAAGGGAAAAACAUAACCAAACCGAACAGAAACAGUAAAAAGAGGCAGUACUGAUGACUGAAGUGCUGACCAGGGUAGCCAACCAUUGAAGCUUCAGGUCUGUGCACUUGUAUGACUUUUGGUGAGGUCAGGAGGUUCUGUUAUCUUUGAGGCCCUUAUGAGGGGAAGGAAGAUACACAAUAUAGACUUAUGUCUGUUUUGCUGAUGAUACAAUUAACCAGCAUGACUAAUAUGCUACUAUGUCUAUGUAUCUCAGGUGUUUGAAGGAGUUUCUAUUGAUUUUUCUUUGAAAAUGCUUUACAGUGCUUUCCAGGUCAGUUAUACCCUCAGAGAAAUGGGAGCAAUGUAAUAAUUCUGAAUGUAAGAUUUUUUUACUAUGUAACUGAAGUAUCUAUUUUGUAAUAUACUUCAAAAGAGUUGUCUGUUGCAGGGGAUGAAAAGCAUUAUAAUGCAUUCAUUAUGAAAAACAUUAGGAAUUCUGGAUGUUUUAAGUAUUUCUGAAAAUUAAUAUUUGGUAUGGGAGUAUAUUCUUAAAAGGAGUCUUGUAUUUGGGCUUUUCUGAAAGGUAGAUAUAUUUCCACAUGGAAUAAGAGCCUUUCAAAUACUUUCAUAUUUGUUGGAAAUACUUUCUCCACUUGAGGCCCUUUCCUUUGAAUUUCUUUGAAUUUCUUUUCUCAUUUCUCCCUUGCAGUGGAAGAAAUGAGAAAGGAAAUUCACUUUGCAGGGUCAAGAAAGGAAGGCAAGAGAUGACCUUACAUGAUCACUCCUUAAAGAAAUAGAAAAGAUGAGUGCAGUGAGUGACAGACAAUAUCUGCUUCAGCAUUCCAUAAUUACCAAGCAAGGAGUGGAUGAAAAGGCAUGGAGAUAAUGCCACAGAAGAAAAGUCCUGAUAUCUCCCAAAAUUCCAUAAAAAACAAUGCUGGAAACAAAGUCAGGUGGAAAACUAAUUGUAUCUUUGGCUUCAUACAGAAGGAGAAAAAAAAUGGUUAAGAUCUUAAGGAAUGGUCUACCUCCAUCUUCUCAGGAAAAUAUCUCAGAAUCAGGAGCUGUCAUGAACAGCUACUUCAGCAGGAUGAAGUACUUAUGCUUCUCUAACAUUAUUUCUCAAUGGGACCUCAUUUUUUCAUUGUAGCCUUCCUUCCCAGCAUGUUCCACCUUCCUCAGUCAUUUUCCUAACAUUUGUCAAUCUCCUAUCUGCUCUUUUCUAUUUUGGGCAUUUUGUUUACUUUUCCACACAUAUCUGCACUUCUAUUUUGGUACUCUUAUCUUUUGUGUGUGUUUGUGUGUGUACAGUAGACGAGGUCACAAGAAGCAAUCACAAAGACUGAUUUUGUGGCAGGGUACUGCCAUAUAGUCUGUCUUGCACUCACAAACUGAUUAUGGUAAAAUACUUGAUCUCUCAAAAGACAAUAAUUUUCAAAACUAUGUUCCAUAUUACUUACUAUUAAGAAGCAUUACCAUCAGUAUUCAAGAUUAGCUGAAUAAAAUGUUAAUAACCUGUUCAUUCCCAUUACGUUUGACUGUUCUUUUCUUAACAUCUAUACACUGUUGGAAGUAAUUUACUAAAAUACAUGCUUUAGAAGUAGAGUAUUCAAAUAGUACUCUCUAGUUGAAGAAGAAAACUGUGUUCAAACCAAAAACACUAGGUGAAAACAUCAUAGCUAUCACCCGCUAUUAAGUGACACAGCAAUGCUCCAAACCCAACCACGGCUAAAUUGGGCAGGAUAUGUAAAGCAUAGCAUGAAUUGUUCUGUUGCUCACCACAGCAUGUUGAAUUCAGCAAGUUAGCAGGUAUGACUCAAAAAUAAGUUCAGGUUCCCUGUAAUUUUUAUACCAAAUUCUUUCUUCUUGUAAUACGUGCUUUAAUUUGUUUAAACGUCUUUAACAUAUUUUGAUUUAGAUUUUAAGAUUCUGUAUUGCAGAGCAAAAUCUAACUCCUGCAGCAGGUGGAUCAAGCCUCCUUUUACCAGAUUGUUCACUCUUCAGCAGCACCAGGGCAGUUACAACUAUUUGAAUUGGCAUUUCCAAUGAAACUUCAUUUUGUGCCUGAAUCAUUCUUUUAAGAUAAAAGUUACAAUGCACUCAUUUUGCUAGUCAUUCUCCUGUGUUUCCAUUUAAAAAGAUUUUUCCCUUGCUUUCUGAUGCAGUUCACUGACAGCUGGUCUGAUACACUUUCCUCUUGCUUAGGUGCUGUGUCAAAAGCAGCUCUGAUAGCCUGGAUCUUCAUUUCAGCAGAACACUGUAACACUACCUAUGUAUUAUGUAUCCAGCAGCCAGCAUUUACCACUCUUACUUCCCAGAAUGGAAUUAGGUCACAGAUGGGACACACUGGGAAUUCAUAAUGCAGAAUUCAGUCUCAGCCUUAAACCCCUGACUUUGUGUCAAAUAUCAUUAAAUAGGCUCUGCUCCAAAACUCUGUCAGGAAGCACUGUUUCACAUCUUUAUGUGUCUCAACCCCAACUUCUAGUUGGGAAGUAGAAUAGGAAACUUUACUUUCCACAUAAUGUAGUAAUACAAGUGAUUGGCAUGAACAGACCAACUGAAGCCAACUGUUGACUUUGAUGGAACUACUUGACCACUUGAACUCUAAUGGUAACUGAGGAAAAAUAGGCUGAGUGCUAUUAAAAAAAAUGAAGACAUAAUCCUGCUUAUUGAAACAAUGCAGCUUUUACCAUCCAGUUUCCAAGAAUAACCUAUCUGUAAGGAAGCAACUGCAAGAGAUGUUGCACAAAUGCAUACAGCUCUUAGCAAGUAAAAGGAGAUCAUCUGGGUUCAUUUCACUUUCAUGGAAAGUCCACAGUUUUUUGCUAUUAUUUUGUCAGAGGGAGUUUUGGUAUUAAAACAACCCCAAUCCUUUCUUUAGUAAGCUGUAAUGAAAUGCUUUUGUGACCUAGCAAAAAUAAUUUCAUGUGUUCAAACCGAUUUUCCAGUGAAUAACCUUCCUGUCUAAAAAUCAGGCUCUUUACAAGGACUAACUGACAUCCUUGUUAUCAGCCUGUAUGGAUUUAAUAUGCUGAGCAGAGAGGAGCAGCUGGGAAAAGAUUGGAGAGAAUGAGCUAUAUUCAGAUACUUGGGGAGUUGGGGAGUCCACUGGGGUAAAGCACUUUAGUAGAACAGCCUGCAAAGGAUGUCACUACUCACCCCACGUCAGUUCUCUGGAAAAAGAAACAGCUCUGGCUUUUGCGUCUGUUAGUCUGGCACCUUCAGCAAGUAAUUAAAUCACACUGUAGAUUUGUAUACAUACUUAGAUAAAUAAUAAAUGACAGCUAUCACACUGUCAUGCAAGCAUGCAUGCAUACCCAGGGCAGGAAAUCACAUACAGUAUUUCAUUUGUUGCCAAUUUAUCUCUAACGAAGUGAGGAAGAUGCCCUAGGGACUGGUGACUAACAAGGAGCAUUGUUUAUGCUACAAAUCCCAUCCGGUUAUUAGUCUUUGAAAAGUGUUUUGUUUAGCUUAUCAGUGCUUCAGCAGGAAUGCCAGGGGCAUUAUUUUUAUCUAAGUGUAUUUCUAUUCCAAUAUUACUGACUCCCACUCAACCUCUCCAUAAGAGGUUAUGUGUUACUUGAGGGCUGAAAAUUAGACACAUGCUUCAAUGCCUUACUGAAUCAGGGUGGUUAGCACUGCACAAAACCAAGGCCUUGACAGGUUUCCUUAUUAAUUUUGCUUCAGUAAAUUGGAGAACAUCUUUGUAGAAAUCAAGCCUUACUUAAGGACUACAGAGCAUGAGAAAGAAUAAAUACCUUGUGAAGUAUAUAUGCCCAUAAAUUAAAACUAUUUUAAUGAGUUAGAUCUGCUUAAUUUCUACACUUUGCUUGCUUUGUUGGAUGAUACUGUGUUACACAAUCCAAUUCUGCACUUCCGCAAUACUAAAGUAUCACAAGUGUCUGGCAAGUUGUGAGCCUCUUUCACAAUAGUACGACAGUUAAUCGUUUGUCCACACAAUUGAUAGGCUGCUAUUUUAUCAGGUUAUCAAAAUACCUGCAGCACGCCCUUGAUCAAGUUAAUAUUUAAAAAUAGUAAUGCAAUAUUUUUAUUACAUUCAAGUAUCUUUUUGAUCAUGCUAAAUAUCUUCUGAGUGGAAAACUUAUUUAGGGUUGCUUUUGUUUGUUUGUUUUCCUCAGGAGACCUCUUUUUUUUUUUUAAGCAGAUUUGCUUUAUUGAAGGGAACAAAAAAAC
rnacentral:lncRNA from 1 species